UACGUAGGGGGCAAGCGUUGUCCGGAUUUAUUGGGCGUAAAGAGCGUGUAGGCGGCCAGGUAGGUCUGGUGUGAAAACUCGAGGCUUAACCUCGAGAUGUCAUCGGAAACCAUCUGGCUAGAGUCCGGAAGAGGAGACUGGAAUACUUGGUGUAGCAGUGAAAUGCGUAGAUAUCAAGUGGAACACCAGUGGCGAAGGCGAGUCUCUGGACAUUUCCUGACGCUGAGGCACGAAAGCCAGGGGAGCAAACGGG
rnacentral:rRNA from 1 species